rnacentral:lncRNA from 1 species
UCUAGAUACUCAUAUUGCAACAGAGAAAGGGUGGGGGAAAAAUGUAAUUGUAAUGUAUACAUGUAAGGAUAACCUGACCCCCCUUGCUGUACAGUGGGAAAAUAAAAAAAAAAAAAAAAGGAGAAAAAAAAAAAAGAAAAAGAUCCUUUUAGUGAUUAACUUGUAGCAAAAACAGCAGAACACAGUUUAAAGAAACAGAUCCAAUAUGGAGUCAGACUUGCUCUUCCCUUUUACAGCCCCCCUUGGAUCAUGUGACCCAGGAAGAUUCAUAACUGGGUUCAGGAGGGGGAGACUCUCUCAUGGAUCUAAGCAAGCCUUGUUUCUCUCCUGUCACUGAGGGCACAGUGCUGUGGUAGACACCCCUGGCAAUACUUUAUGGAGUAAAUGGCAAUACUUUAUAUAGCCACAGAUGAAAGGAAAUCAAAGUACAUGUUUACUGUAACAUGUACUAUUCUUCAGUUAAAAAAAAUGCUGUCUAUAUAUAUAUAUAUAUAUAUAUAUGUUAUUUUAGGGGAAAAAAGUCUUCUGACUUUUCUAGUCCCUUGUCAUCAUCUUAUAGAGCCUCACUACUUUCUUCUCCCAUCAUUCUUGGUCCUAUCUCUGUGAUGCUGCUGGGAUUUCCCUCUCUGGCUGAAAUGAGCAUGGGACCUACAUAGAGACCUGGGUUCUAGUCUAACUUCUGCAUUUAACCACUGUGUGUGGUUCUUGACUGUAACACCAUCUCCCUGGACCUGAGUUUUCUUAACUGAAUACCUGAAUACCUGAGCUGGGGAAGAUUCAAAUGGCUAAUACACAAGCUCAGUUCAAGAAGACUCCAAAUAAUGGGUCUUCCAUUUUCCCAGUGGGAAGUAUUGCAGGCACACAAAACAAUUUAAGUUGUAAUAAUUAAGCUUUUCAGCAUGCAAAGGCAUUAUAUUUAUUUAUAAUUUCUUUAGUUAUACAGACAUGUUAAAAUAGCAUAUUUUAUAAAGCAUUAGUCAUACUGUAUUUUCAACCCUCAUGUUCCAUAAUUUUAUUUAAACACAUAAAAUAUACAGCAUUAGCAUCACCCUCAAUAGAGCCACUUUUGAAUCAUCUGACAGUUUUCCAGGGUAUGCCAUCCUCAUUUCUAAGUUUUUUAAGAACUAGAAAUGAAGUCCCUUUUGAAUCUGUUUAGGAGGCUUUCACUGGCAUUGAUUAUCCUGCAUCACAAAUAUUUUUUUCAAAAAACAGUGCCCUUGAUUUUCAUUUCAUUUCUGAGUGUGUGUGUGUGUAUGUGUAUGUGUGUGUUACCCACAAUAUAUCAUUAUGGUGAGCUUUCAGGUGAUCUUUAAAAGACUUGUUCCCAAUGGUAUUCGGCACUCACAAUCAGGAGCUCAUACCCUAGGAAUAAUUCCUACAACUUUAUUAGACCUCUUAUGUCCUUAUUGUCCAUAACCCAAUUCAUCAUGCCACCUCUACAUACAUCAAACUAACAUUGAUUGUGGGAAUUUUAUGUGAACAUGUUUAUCCAAAAUAUACUUCACUAUUCCAAGUUAUAUAGGUAUACUUUUUUUUUUUUUUGAGACUUUAUUCACAUUAAACCUGUCUUUACUGAGGAGUAAUUUUGGAAGAAACACCAUAAUAUUUGUGAUGGCAAGGGAGGCAAAGGCAAGAGGACCAGUUGAAUGAAAGUCAGCUUUUGAAACUGUGUGCAUCAGAGAGGAGAUACUGGGAUGAUGUCUUAUGAGGAUUCAGAGAAUGAACCUGGGGCAAUCUACCAGUGGCCCUGUACAAAGGCAGAGAUGGGCUGUGUAGAGCCAGAAAAAGCCUAGGAGGGAUCACUUGCACCUGAUCACUUGGUGUGAGAAAAAGGAAAAAGAGGAGAGGGUAGGUUUUGGAAGGAUCUCUCUUCCUGGAGUGAGAGCAGGAAGAGAAACAAGUCAUUUUUUGCACCUCCAUUUACUUCAAUAUUAACAUGUCACUUUUCUAGGGUUUGCUAUUCACGAAAGAUCACAAUUCAAAUCUGAAACAGUCUGAAAGCUGUUGAUAAUUAUCCCUGGGAAAAAUCUGAGAGGCAGAUGAAUAGAGAUGACAAGGAAUAGGAUGAAUAACCUGUCACUUUUUGAGAGACACUGGGUGUGAGGGGUGAGGCAUGGUCAUCCUCAAAGACCUACUCUGUCUGAAAGUUAAAAUGUUACAACUCAUGUCGUAUUUAACAGAAGAGAAGAAUGAGCUGUACUUUUCCUGGUUUAUUUGUAUAAGCAAGGAAAGCACUUCAGUGACACAGAUAAUAUAUUAGUUGUACAAGUAAGCUCAUCUUUUUGAAAACUAGUUCAGAGAUAAAUGAAAAAAAUAUAUGAUAAUAUUGGUUAAUGAAGCAUUUUCCUGAACAUGGUUUCAUUUGAUUACCCAAACCUGUGAAGUAGGCCAACAUUAUUAAAAUUCUUACUUUAUAGAUGAAUACAAGGCAGAGGAAUUGGAGUGGUUAAUUGCCCAAAUCUGCCUCAGGGAGGUGAAUCCAAAGAAUAUUGGACUUGUCUAGUGAUAUUCCCUCUCAUGCUGAGAGUCCUGAAACCAUUUUAUAGCAUGAUGCAGAACACAAGGCUGCAGAGACAUUUCCCCCAUGUCCUUUGUUGAGCAGAGUCAGGCAAUCCAGCUGCUGGGAAAAACCCCUCUUCUGCUGGAGGGAAAAAUGCCCAGAUGAAAGAUUCAUACAGAUUCAAAGACAAAAGUGUUAUUUUGUUACAGGAUUUCUCUUUUUGGCUGCCAUUAGCUUAGUAAGACAUCGAUGUGGCAACUUUCAAACAGUACAAAAGGUUACAGUGAAACAUAUUUUUGUGUUAUGUGCUCCUGACCCUUAAUAUUCCAGUUCUGAUCCCAGGAGGUAACUCUCAAACCCCUGUCUUGUGAAUGCUUCCGGAGAAGUUCUUUGUAUAUAUGAGCACAGUGUUGUUUAUUCCUUCUGUCAAUAUAUUUUUUUAAUACAAAUAGUAGCAUCGAAUUCUGUACCUUCUAAUAUACCUUGGAGCCUGUUUCUGAUCAUUACACAAAAAUCAACCUUAUUCUUUGUAGGAGCUACUUAGGAUUCCAUUGAGUAGGUAUGACAUGAUUUCUUUAUGGACAUUUAGAUUCCAUAAACAAUGCUGAACCAAGUAUAUUUUAUAAGUUUAUGUAUAUAUACAAACAUAUCCUCCCAUAAAAAUAUCUAGAAGUGCAAAUGCUGGAUCAAAAAGCAUAUGCAUUUAAAAUUUGCAAGACUUUGCCAAAUUGCCAUUCAAAAUUAAGUAAACUAAGUUGUACUCUUAUUGGUUAUGAAUGAGAGUAACUGUUUCCCUCAUUAAUGCCGUAUUUAUUCAAACUCUUGAUAAUGACCAAUUUACUGGUAAAAACUUAGUUUUUGCAUUUCAUAUAUAGAGUCAGCAUAUCUGAAGAUUUGUAUAUGUGAAUAUAUUUUAAACUACUGAACUGUACAAUUGAAAAUGGUUAAGAUGUUAAAAAGUAUAAAUCAUAUAUUUUUAGAAUCCUAUGUGCAUUGUUUGUUCCAGUUUCUGUCCAUUUUUUUUUCUAUUGGUUUGAUGCUGUUUUCCUUAUUUUUAAGAGCUCUUUUUAUAUUGAGAACAAUAGUCAUUUACCAUUCAUUGUAAAUUUUCUUCCCAAGUUUUAAUUUUUAUUAAACUUAGAGUAUUUUUCCACAUAAAUUAAAAAAUUUUCAUGUGUAAUUCAAAAUACCAAUUUAUUACUCAAAUUUGAUGUUCCUUAGAAAAUAUUUCUUUUGUGAUUAUUUACAAGUCUUUUUUAAGGCUUUAAUUUUAUUUUCAUUUAAAUUCUUAGUCAUCUGAAAUAUAUUUUGUUGUGGUGACUGAGGCAAGGAUCUUACCUUUUUCUGAAAUGAACGUACAGUUAUUUUAAUAUGUUCUAUUUAAUAAUCUAGUUUUUCUCCACUGAGUUAAAAUGCCACCAAAGUUCAAUUUCUGUACUCUCAAUUUUAUUCAGUUUAUCAGUCUCUCUCUAUAUUCAUUUAUAAGUCCCAAACUGUUCAUAUUACUGUGGUUUUAUGAUACAUCUAGUAUACUUAGAAAUUUAACAUUUAUUUUUAUAUUUUACUAUUAAGACGUUAAAUGUUCCGUGUUCUUGUUGUGGUUCAGUGGAAACGAAUCUGACUAGUAUCCAAGAGGAUACAGGUUCACUCCCUGGCCUCGCUCAGUGGGUCAGGGAUCUGGCGUUGCCAUGAGCUGUAGUGUGGUUUGAAGAUGCAGCUUGGAUUGCACGUUGCUGUGGCUGUGGUGUAGGUCAGUGGCUGCAGCUCUGAUUCGACCCCUAGCCUGGGAACCUCCACAUGCCACAGGUGUGGCC